CUGUUUGAUCCUGGCUCAGAACGAACGCUGGCGGCAGGCCUAACACAUGCAAGUCGAGCGCACCCUUCGGGGUGAGCGGCGGACGGGUUAGUAACGCGUGGGAAUAUACCCAGUUCUAAGGAAUAGCCUCUGGAAACGGAGAGUAAUACCUUAUACGCCCUUAGGGGGAAAGAUUUAUCGGAACUGGAUUAGCCCGCGUUAGAUUAGAUAGUUGGUGGGGUAAUGGCCUACCAAGUCUACGAUCUAUAGCUGGUUUGAGAGGAUGAUCAGCAACACUGGGACUGAGACACGGCCCAGACUCCUACGGGAGGCAGCAGUGGGGAAUCUUAGACAAUGGGCGCAAGCCUGAUCUAGCCAUGCCGCGUGAGUGAUGAAGGCCUUAGGGUCGUAAAGCACUUUCGCCAGGGAUGAUAAUGACAGUACCUGGUAAAGAAACCCCGGCUAACUCCGUGCCAGCAGCCGCGGUAAUACGGAGGGGGUUAGCGUUGUUCGGAAUUACUGGGCGUAAAGCGUACGUAGGCGGAUUAGAAAGUAGGGGGUGAAAUCCCAGGGCUCAACCCUGGAACUGCCUCCUAAACUGCUAGUCUAGAGUUCGAGAGAGGUGAGUGGAAUUCCAAGUGUAGAGGUGAAAUUCGUAGAUAUUUGGAGGAACACCAGUGGCGAAGGCGGCUCACUGGCUCGAUACUGACGCUGAGGUACGAAAGUGUGGGGAGCAAACAGGAUUAGAUACCCUGGUAGUCCACACCGUAAACGAUGAAUGCCAGUCGUCGGGUUGCUUGCAACUCGGUGACACACCUAACGGAUUAAGCAUUCCGCCUGGGGAGUACGGUCGCAAGAUUAAAACUCAAAGGAAUUGACGGGGGCCCG
rnacentral:rRNA from 1 species